AUGAUGUUUGAGCAAGUACUUUUUUUGAGUGUCUAUUUAUUUUUGAUUGGUAUCUAUGGAUUGAUCACAAGCCGAAACAUGGUUAGAGCUCUAAUAUCUCUUGAACUUAUACUGAAUUCAAUUAAUCUAAAUCUCGUAACAUUUUCUGAUCUAUUUGAUGGUCGUUAAUUAAAAGGAGAUAUUUUCGCAAUUUUUGUUAUAGCCCUUGCGGCUGCUGAAGUCGCUAUUGGACUAUCUAUUCUUUCUUCUAUCCAUCGCAAUAGGAAAUCCACUCGUAUCAAUCAAUCUAAUUUAUUGAAUAAUUAG
rnacentral:rRNA from 1 species